GACGAACGCUGGCGGCGUGCCUAAUACAUGCAAGUCGAGCGAGACUCUUCGGAGUCUAGCGGCGGACGGGUGAGUAACACGUGGGCAACCUGCCUGUAAGACUGGGAUAACACCGGGAAACCGGUGCUAAUACCGGAUAAUCCUUUUCCUCACAUGAGGAAAAGCUGAAAGUCGGUUUCGGCUGACACUUACAGAUGGGCCCGCGGCGCAUUAGCUAGUUGGUGAGGUAACGGCUCACCACGGCGACGAUGCGUAGCCGACCUGAGAGGGUGAUCGGCCACACUGGGACUGAGACACGGCCCAGACUCCUACAGGAGGCAGCAGUAGGGAAUCUUCCACAAUGGACGAAAGUCUGAUGGAGCAACUCCGCGUGAGCGAUGAAGGCCUUCGGGUCGUAAAGCUCUGUUGUUAGGGAAGAACAAGUACCGGAGUAACUGCCGGUACCUUGACGGUACCUAACCAGAAAGCCACGGCUAACUACGUGCCAGCCGCCGCCGUAACAC
rnacentral:rRNA from 1 species